rnacentral:snRNA from 1 species
GGAUGUGAGGGCAAUCUGGCUAUGACAUCUGUCACCCCAUUGAUCACCAGGGUUGAUUCAGCUGAGCUGGCUGGGUAGGAGUGAGUCCCCUUCCUCCCUCACCACUUGACGUGCGUGCCUUCUGGAGCUGUGUGCUUGGCAGAAGAGGAUGACCAUCCCCGAUAGAGGAGAACCAGUCUUGGGUCAAGGGUAUACCAGUAGCUGUGCUUAUAGGACCUCCAAACAAGCUCUCAAAAUAUACAAAGAAGCAAUUGAGAAAAUUAAAGGAAGAAAUAGAAAUUCCACAAUCAGAGGCUGUCAUCU